rnacentral:rRNA from 1 species
AUGAACGCUGGCGGCGUGCCUAAUACCUGCAAGUCGCGCGAACGGACGAGAAGCUUGCUUCUCUGAUGUUAGCGGCGGACGGGUGAGUAACACGUGGAUAACCUACCUAUAAGACUGGGAUAACUUCGGGAAACCGGAGCUAAUACCGGAUGAUAUUUUGAACCGCAUGGUUCAAAAGUGAAAGACGGUCUUGCUGUCACUUAUAGAUGGAUCCGCGCUGCAUUAGCUAGUUGGUAAGGUAACGGCUUACCAAGGCAACGAUGCAUAGCCGACCUGAGAGGGUGAUCGGCCACACUGGAACUGAGACACGGUCCAGACUCCUACGGGAGGCAGCAGUAGGGAAUCUUCCGCAAUGGGCGAAAGCCUGACGGAGCAACGCCGCGUGAGUGAUGAAGGUCUUCGGAUCGUAAAACUCUGUUAUUAGGGAAGAACAUAUGUGUAAGUAACUGUGCACAUCUUGACGGGACCUAAUCAGAAAGCCACGGCUAACUACGU